rnacentral:rRNA from 1 species
GACGAACGCUGGCGGCGUGCUUAACACAUGCAAGUCGAACGGAAAGGCCCUGCUUUUGUGGGGUGCUCGAGCGGCGAACGGGUGAGUAACACGUGAGUAACCUGCCCUUGACUUUGGGAUAACUUCAGGAAACUGGGGCUAAUACCGGAUAGGAGCUCCUGCUGCAUGGUGGGGUUUGGAAAGUUUCGGCGGUUGGGGAUGGACUCGCGGCUUAUCAGCUUGUUGGUGGGGUAGUGGCUUACCAAGGCUUUGACGGGUAGCCGGCCUGAGAGGGUGACCGGCCACAUUGGGACUGAGAUACGGCCCAGACUCCUACGGGAGGCAGCGGUGGGGAAUAUUGCACAAUGGGCGGAAGCCUGAUGCAGCAACGCCGCGUGCGGGAUGACGGCCUUCGGGUUGUAAACCGCUUUAGCCUGUGACGAAGCGUGAGUGACGGUAAUGGGUAAAGAAGCACCGGCUAACUACGUG